rnacentral:lncRNA from 1 species
GGUGAUUGGGCCAAUUCGUAAUCCUUCUUGAUCGAUGAUUUUGUAUGCUCCAAUUGUGAAAACUUUUUGACGAUGUAGGGUCCGUCCCAUUUAUAUGUGAAUUUAUUUCUCAUAUGUCUCGUCGUGAUGAUAGGUCUUCUUACUGCAAGCACUAACUCACCAAGAAGGACAUGGCGGAGCAUAAAGGGGAGAGUGACAGCAGCAAAAGUGAUCGUCAUUGGAAAAGACCUUUGAAGAAAGGGAAGACAUCAGGUGAUGAAUCUUGUGGAAGGGGCUCGAGUGCUAUGGGAAUUCCCGAUGUCCCACCAUUGCUUUGCAUCUUUUCCUUCUUUAAUACUUUUCUUUUACUGUUCAUCUUCUUCGUGAGCGAUUUAUCUAUUGCUUAUUUCUGCAAUCACCUUUGGACGAUCAUCUUGAAGGACUUAUAGAUAUAGAUAGUGAUGAAUCACUAACUGGUUCUCAUAUGACUGAUACGGCCAUUGAGAAAGUUGGUAUUUCGAAGACACCAGCUGCAAAACCAGCCGAGAUGAUUUGUUGAGACAAGAUGAAAGUGGAUGGCAAAGACAUCGAGAAUCCUCCCUUCAGAGGAGGUGCCUGUCCUACAGUGCCUUCAACGAAUGUUACAUCUAUGACUGAACUUAAAGUGAACCUUAAGCUGCCUAUAUACCAUUUUUAUAACAUAAGGAUCAAGUCAUAACGUAGUUCAAUGGUUUUUUUUCAUGUGACUGAACUUAAAGUGAACCUUAAGUUGCCUACGUACCCUUUUUAUAACAUAGGGAUCAAGUCAUAACGUAGUUCAAUGGUUUUUUUUUCAUGUGACUGAGACUGAACUUAAAGUGAACCUUAAGUUGCCUACGUACCCUUUUUAUAACAUAGGGAUCAAGUCAUAACGUAGUUCAAUAGUUUUUUUUUUUUUUCAUGUGACUGAACUUAAAGUGAACUUUAAGCUUCAUACGUACCCUUUUUAUCACAUAUGGAUCAAGUCAUAACGUAGUUCAAUAUUUUUUUUCAUGUGACUGAACUUAAAGUGAAUAUUAAGCUGCCUACGUACCCUUUUUAUAACAAAGGGAUCAAGUCAUAACGUAGUUCAAUGAUUUUUUUUCAUGUGACUGAACUUAAAGUGAAUCUUAAGUUGCCUACGUACCUUUUUUAUAACAUAGGAAUCAAGUCACAACUAGUAGUUUAAUGUUUUUUUUUACAAAACAAAAUUAAGCAUAAAACUUCUUGAGAAAUUUAUCGGUGAUUGGGCCAAUUCGUAAUCCUUCUUGAUCGAUGAUUUUGUAUGCUCCAAUUGUGAAAACUUUUUGACGAUGUAGGGUCCGUCCCAUUUAUAUGUGAAUUUAUUUCUCAUAUGUCUCGUCGUGAUGAUAGGUCUUCUUACUGCAAGCACUAACUCACCAAGAAGGACAUGGCGGAGCAUAAAGGGGAGAGUGACAGCAGCAAAAGUGAUCGUCAUUGGAAAAGACCUUUGAAGAAAGGGAAGACAUCAGGUGAUGAAUCUUGUGGAAGGGGCUCGAGUGCUAUGGGAAUUCCCGAUGUCCCACCAUUGCUUUGCAUCUUUUCCUUCUUUAAUACUUUUCUUUUACUGUUCAUCUUCUUCGUGAGCGAUUUAUCUAUUGCUUAUUUCUGCAAUCACCUUUGGACGAUCAUCUUGAAGGACUUAUAGAUAUAGAUAGUGAUGAAUCACUAACUGGUUCUCAUAUGACUGAUACGGCCAUUGAGAAAGUUGGUAUUUCGAAGACACCAGCUGCAAAACCAGCCGAGAUGAUUUGUUGAGACAAGAUGAAAGUGGAUGGCAAAGACAUCGAGAAUCCUCCCUUCAGAGGAGGUGCCUGUCCUACAGUGCCUUCAACGAAUGUUACAUCUAUGACUGAACUUAAAGUGAACCUUAAGCUGCCUAUAUACCAUUUUUAUAACAUAAGGAUCAAGUCAUAACGUAGUUCAAUGGUUUUUUUUCAUGUGACUGAACUUAAAGUGAACCUUAAGUUGCCUACGUACCCUUUUUAUAACAUAGGGAUCAAGUCAUAACGUAGUUCAAUGGUUUUUUUUUCAUGUGACUGAGACUGAACUUAAAGUGAACCUUAAGUUGCCUACGUACCCUUUUUAUAACAUAGGGAUCAAGUCAUAACGUAGUUCAAUAGUUUUUUUUUUUUUUCAUGUGACUGAACUUAAAGUGAACUUUAAGCUUCAUACGUACCCUUUUUAUCACAUAUGGAUCAAGUCAUAACGUAGUUCAAUAUUUUUUUUCAUGUGACUGAACUUAAAGUGAAUAUUAAGCUGCCUACGUACCCUUUUUAUAACAAAGGGAUCAAGUCAUAACGUAGUUCAAUGAUUUUUUUUCAUGUGACUGAACUUAAAGUGAAUCUUAAGUUGCCUACGUACCUUUUUUAUAACAUAGGAAUCAAGUCACAACGUAGUUUAAUGUUUUUUUUUACAAAACAAAAUUAAGCAUAAAACUUCUUGAGAAAUUUAUCGGUGAUUGGGCCAAUUCGUAAUCCUUCUUGAUCGAUGAUUUUGUAUGCUCCAAUUGUGAAAACUUUUUGACGAUGUAGGGUCCGUCCCAUUUAUAUGUGAAUUUAUUUCUCAUAUGUCUCGUCGUGAUGAUAGGUCUUCUUACUGGCAAGCACUAACUCACCAAGAAGGACAUGGCGGAGCAUAAAGGGGAGAGUGACAGCAGCAAAAGUGAUCGUCAUUGGAAAAGACCUUUGAAGAAAGGGAAGACAUCAGGUGAUGAAUCUUGUGGAAGGGGCUCGAGUGCUAUGGGAAUUCCCGAUGUCCCACCAUUGCUUUGCAUCUUUUCCUUCUUUAAUACUUUUCUUUUACUGUUCAUCUUUCUUCGUGAGCGAUUUAUCUAUUGCUUAUUUCUGCAAUCACCUUUGGACGAUCAUCUUGAAGGACUUAUAGAUAUAGAUAGUGAUGAAUCACUAACUGGUUCUCAUAUGACUGAUACGGCCAUUGAGAAAGUUGGUAUUUCGAAGACACCAGCUGCAAAACCAGCCGAGAUGAUUUGUUUGAGACAAGAUGAAAGUGGAUGGCAAAGACAUCGAGAAUCCUCCCUUCAGAGGAGGUGCCUGUCCUACAGUGCCUUCAACGAAUGUUACAUCUAUGACUGAACUUAAAGUGAACCUUAAGCUGCCUAUAUACCAUUUUUAUAACAUAAGGAUCAAGUCAUAACGUAGUUCAAUGGUUUUUUUUCAUGUGACUGAACUUAAAGUGAACCUUAAGUUGCCUACGUACCCUUUUUAUAACAUAGGGAUCAAGUCAUAACGUAGUUCAAUGGUUUUUUUUUCAUGUGACUGAGACUGAACUUAAAGUGAACCUUAAGUUGCCUACGUACCCUUUUUAUAACAUAGGGAUCAAGUCAUAACGUAGUUCAAUAGUUUUUUUUUUUUUCAUGUGACUGAACUUAAAGUGAACUUUAAGCUUCAUACGUACCCUUUUUAUCACAUAUGGAUCAAGUCAUAACGUAGUUCAAUAUUUUUUUUCAUGUGACUGAACUUAAAGUGAAUAUUAAGCUGCCUACGUACCCUUUUUAUAACAAAGGGAUCAAGUCAUAACGUAGUUCAAUGAUUUUUUUUCAUGUGACUGAACUUAAAGUGAAUCUUAAGUUGCCUACGUACCUUUUUUAUAACAUAGGAAUCAAGUCACAACGUAGUUUAAUGUUUUUUUUUACAAAACAAAAUUAAGCAUAAAACUUCUUGAGAAAUUUAUCGGUGAUUGGGCCAAUUCGUAAUCCUUCUUGAUCGAUGAUUUUGUAUGCUCCAAUUGUGAAAACUUUUUGACGAUGUAGGGUCCGUCCCAUUUAUAUGUGAAUUUAUUUCUCAUAUGUCUCGUCGUGAUGAUAGGUCUUCUUACUGCAAGCACUAACUCACCAAGAAGGACAUGGCGGAGCAUAAAGGGGAGAGUGACAGCAGCAAAAGUGAUCGUCAUUGGAAAAGACCUUUGAAGAAAGGGAAGACAUCAG